AUGAACGCUGGCGGCGUGCCUAAUACAUGCAAGUCGAGCGAACGGACGAGAAGCUUGCUUCUCUGAUGUUAGCGGCGGACGGGUGAGUAACACGUGGAUAACCUACCUAUAAGACUGGGAUAACUUCGGGAAACCGGAGCUAAUACCGGAUAAUAUUUUGAGCCGCAUGGUUCAAAAGUGAAAGACGGUCUUGCUGUCACUUAUAGAUGGAUCCGCGCUGCAUUAGCUAGUUGGUAAGGUAACGGCUUACCAAGGCAACGAUGCAUAGCCGACCUGAGAGGGUGAUCGGCCACACUGGAACUGAGACACGGUCCAGACUCCUACGGGAGGCAGCAGUAGGGAAUCUUCCGCAAUGGGCGAAAGCCUGACGGAGCAACGCCGCGUGAGUGAUGAAGGUCUUCGGAUCGUAAAACUCUGUUAUUAGGGAAGAACAUAUGUGUAAGUAACUGUGCACAUCUUGACGGUACCUAAUCAGAAAGCCACGGCUAACUACGUG
rnacentral:rRNA from 1 species